GACGAACGCUGGCGGCGUGCUUAACACAUGCAAGUGGAGCGACGAACCAGGGCUUGCCCUGGGGCAGAGCCGCGAACGGGUGAGUAACACGUGGGUAACGUGCCCCGAUGACUGGGACAACCCGGGGAAACCCGGGCUAAUACCGGAUGUGCCCCCUCACAUCAGUGAGGUGUGUAAAGGAAGCUUCGGCCUCCGCAUCGGGAUCGGCCCGCGGCCCAUUAGCUUGUUGGUGAGGUAACGGCUCACCAAGGCUGCGAUGGGUAGCUAGUCUGAGAGGACGAUCAGCCACACUGGGACUGAGACACGGCCCAGACUCCUACGGGAGGCAGCAGUGGGGAAUCUUGCGCAAUGCGCGAAAGCGUGACGCAGCAACGCCGCGUGGGGGAAGACGGCCUUCGGGUUGUAAACCCCUUUCAGUUGGGACGAAGGUCGGGCGGUUAACAGCCGUUCCGGCUGACGGUACCUUCACAAGAAGCCCCGGCUAACUACGUG
rnacentral:rRNA from 1 species